rnacentral:misc_RNA from 1 species
CUGCAAAUAACUAAAUGUUUGCAUUUUGCAGAUAACAAUUUGGCUAACAAUACAGAUAAAUUAUGUAAAAUAAAACCUGUGAUAAACUUUUUGAAUCAAAGAUUUAAAGAAGUAUAUACAAUGCAAGAGAACAUUACUAUCGAUGAAUCAUUGAUGAAAUAUAAGAGACGCUUAUCCUAUAAACAAUUUAAUCCAUCAGAAGGGUGCACUGGAACAGAAAUAAUAUGCCAAAAGAUUUUUAUAAAGUAAAAUUAAAAAAGGGUGAAUAUAUAAUGAGAAGCUG